rnacentral:lncRNA from 1 species
ACUUAAUGUACAGCAACUUAGCAUAAUAGUAUUAUGCUAAGUUGCUGUUAGAAUCAGUUUGAGUUUUUUGCAAAUAAACUUGAGUUUAUCCUUAAAAGUAUUUUUAAAUUGGUCUCUUAAGAGACAUUUUAAAUUGAUAUAUAUUAUUUACCGAGCUACAGAAAAUUAUUCCAUGGCUUGUGCCAAAAUAGAAAUUGCAAAAUGGUGCUUCUCUCUCUCUCUGUUUAUUAUAGUGAAUUACCCUUUAUUUUUUAGAAAUUAUAAUAAUUAUGACAACAGUCGUGGGCCUACUAUAUUUCAUGCCUAUAAGAUAUCAAACCAACAGGAGAAAGUAGUCCUAUCUAAUGUAGAGACAAUGUCCCUAUUUGCCACUCAUUGAUAUCUUCAUGUCUAAAGAGCAACAAAUUGUGCACUCACUAUGAAUAUUCAAUGUGGUUAUAUAGUGAAAUCUGCUAAAACGACCAUCUUCAUAACAUGACUCCCUGAACUAACGACCACUUUUUAGAUGGAACAUCCCGUUUCAUAUAUAUAAAACAUGGUUUUCGACUUCUUUAAAAUGACCCUCUCUUAACACGACCGCGACCGGCAAUAAAAUCAUAUUUAAAAAAAAAACCUGUUAGAAAUGACCAGUACCAAAGGAUAUUUUGUUUUUUAAAUUUUUGAACAAACUCUAGCUGCUCCGAUGCAAAUAUCUCAACGUUACAUGAGGUCGAAUUCCCUAUUGGUUAAAAGUGGCGCAUAGCUGAAAUGGAUGAGUCAAAACACGAAAGGGAAAAUCGGUAGAAAGAAGCAUGGGAAUGAUUUGAUUUUGUUUUUGUUUUGUUCUACUGCACAAAACUGUCA